GUUGACCGUGACCACUUGCUUUUGCCUCCUUUUUAAAAAUAAUACAUUAUUUGUUUUUGCAACAUUGGUCAUUGGGGGCUUGUACUACAAAUUUCUCUUAAAUGCCUGGAAUGUCACCUUUGCACUCAGGGGUGGCCGGGCCAUGUGAGAAAUGAAAAGAGGACUUUGUUUCCCAGCGGAGUGAAACAGUCGCAGCCUUGGGUCAGCAAAACUUCUCUUCUGUACAUCCAUAAUCAUCUGUCCUUUAAGGGCAUGUUUAUGUUUGCACAUAUUUCCUCUUCGAUUGUGCCGAAGGAGACUGAACUCAUGAGAACGCUGUCGGCCAAGUGUCCUCAUAUCCUGCACUGGCCGCAUCGGCGUAGAGAGGCACCUAUUAGCGUCCUACCUUCCUCACGCCAGCUUUAAGGACACUGUCUGCUGCAGAGUUCACAACACAGAUGAC
ensembl:lncRNA